CACAAACAGUGGCCAUUCAUUUGUUCUCCGUGCACUUGUCGAUGUGCAUGAUACGAGAUAUUUGUGUUGGGACUCCUGGAAGUGUCAUGACGUGUUUGCAGCAUCGGAUCUUUAUGCCGUUAAGAUCAAUCCAUAAUCACGUACAAUAAAUUGGCUUUCAAGGCUGUAUACCGUCGUCAUGAUUAACACAGGCUAAUGAUUGGGGCAAAUUCUGUCAUGUGAGACUACAUUUUUGCGUUAAUGCCGUUAACACAAAAAGUGUUUCCAAACCAGUUUUUCACGACAUUUGAAGUAUCGACAGAGUUUAUGCGCUAGAGUUAAACGGAAAAAUAUUAUGUCGACACUUGUGAAAUUUUAGCGAUAAUUUGCGUUUCCAUCAGCUUUAUUUUGAUGCGCUAAAACAUUUUUCGCAAAAAAACAUCCUUGGAUGGAAACGUAGUUGUAGCAUUCUAUGGGCGGUACCCUGUCGAGGAGACAAGAGGCCGUAUUUUUAAUGGAUGUCUAUGGCGGAAAUGCUUCAGUACGCUGAAUAAACUGCUUUUGUGAGGAAACAGCUCAUCACUUAAUGAAUUGACCGCCUGUCUGCUAAUCUUCAAGAUGUUUUACACUAAACCGUUCUUUUGUAAUGAACUAUGUGUGGAGUUUACAACGAUAAAAUUGCUGUUUUAUAAGAGAAGACGCAGAGAAUAUUGCGACAAGUAGGUGUGCGUUUACGGCUCUCCCGAUUCAUUUAAAUGGAAUCCGCAAACGGUGACUUACUGUCGUAACACGCUAGUUGCUAGUUCUCUCUGUUAAAAACGCGGAGGUUGUUCUACACCAUGUGUACAAGCUCUCUGGUUACCAUUUUAUCCAUCAGCUCACACAGUUCAUAUGACGUUUGCACGUGAUUGUAGAGUGUGACGCACAUACGAGCGAUUCCAUUUAUUUCCACAGACCAGAUUCAUUCACGAAGCAUAAUAAACUCGUUGGAAUUGAGGUGGGAAAUAAUGGAGAAGUGUGACUGUUCUAAAACUGGAUCUUGUAACUGCGGGCAAAACUGCAAAUGCACCAAUUGUACAAGCUCACAAUGCAAGAAAAGUUGCUGCAGUACUGCAUCUGGAUGCAGUAAGGACACCAGGGCUGUGAGAGCGCGGGCAAGGACAAGGAGAAAUCGUGCCAGACGCGCUGCUGCAAAUGAAAGUGUGUGAUGUGGCGCUGUGAAACUGUGGUCCUUCAAUAAAGCACAUUCUAACACAUA